GGACAAGUGACUAAGUGCACAUGGUGGAUGCCUAGGCGAUAUCAGGCGAUGAAGGACGUAGUCGCUUGCGAUAAGCUGCGGGGAGCGAGCAAACACGCUUUGAUCCGCAGAUUUCCGAAUGGGGUAACCCGGCCUUAAUGGUCAUUGCACACUGAAUACAGAGGUGUGCAAAGCGAACGCGGCGAACUGAAACAUCUAAGUAGCUGCAGGAAAAGAAAUCAACCGAGAU
rnacentral:ncRNA from 1 species